rnacentral:rRNA from 1 species
UACGUAGGGUGCGAGCGUUGUCCGGAAUUAUUGGGCGUAAAGAGCUCGUAGGCGGUGUGUCACGUCGGCCGUGAAAACCUGCAGCUUAACUGUGGGCGUGCGGUCGAUACGGGCAUCACUGGAGUUCGGCAGGGGGAGACUGGAAUUCCUGGUGUAGCGGUGAAAUGCGCAGAUAUCAGGAGGAACACCGGUGGCGAAGGCGGGUCUCUGGGCCGAUACUGACGCUGAGGAGCGAAAGCGUGGGGAGCGAACAGG